rnacentral:rRNA from 1 species
AAAGCUUGCUUUCUUGCUGACGAGUGGCGGACGGGUGAGUAAUGCUUGGGAAUCUGGCUUAUGGAGGGGGAUAACGACGGGAAACUGUCGCUAAUACCGCGUAUUAUCGGAAGAUGAAAGUGCGGGACUGAGAGGCCGCAUGCCAUAGGAUGAGCCCAAGUGGGAUUAGGUAGUUGGUGGGGUAAAGGCCUACCAAGCCAGCGAUCUCUAGCUGGUCUGAGAGGAUGACCAGCCACACUGGAACUGAGACACGGUCCAGACUCCUACGGGAGGCAGCAGUGGGGAAUAUUGCGCAAUGGGGGGAACCCUGACGCAGCCAUGCCGCGUGAAUGAAGAAGGCCUUCGGGUUGUAAAGUUCUUUCGGUAUUGAGGAAGGUUGAUGUGUUAAUAGCACAUCAAAUUGACGUUAAAUACAGAAGAAGCACCGGCUAACUCCGUGCCAGCAGCCGCGGUAAUACGGAGGGUGCGAGCGUUAAUCGGAAUAACUGGGCGUAAAGGGCACGCAGGCGGUUAUUUAAGUGAGGUGUGAAAGCCCCGGGCUUAACCUGGGAAUUGCAUUUCAGACUGGGUAACUAGAGUACUUUAGGGAGGGGUAGAAUUCCACGUGUAGCGGUGAAAUGCGUAGAGAUGUGGAGGAAUACCGAAGGCGAAGGCAGCCCCUUGGGAAUGUACUGACGCUCAUGUGCGAAAGCGUGGGGAGCAAACAGGAUUAG